AGAGCUACAGCUCAGUGGUAGAACAUAUGCUUUGAGCACAUAUGACCCCAAGUUUGAUCCAUGGUGUUUCCA